UUGCUUUGGCAGCACAUAUACUAAAAUUGGAAGGACACAGAGAAGAUUAGCAUGGCCCCUGUACAAGGACAACACACAGAGUAAGGAAGUGUUCCAUAUUUUU